GGGGGGGGAGGGGUAUUUGGGUAAACAUGGACUCAUCACCGCCGUUGUGGGUGGGUUGACGACGGCGAAUCCCCCCCCCCCCACCAAGUACCGCUAGUAGAUCACCUCUGAGACAACGGCUUGACAGCCCCCGACCGCAGACAUAUACACACACACGCACACCUAUGGGAACACACACACACAACACACCAUGUCUAACUCCAUAUAAAUAAAACCCUAGGAUUUAUGCCCACACUCAUUAAUAACACAUGAAUACACACACUCAAACACAGUCAUUUUCUACCUUCAUGUAAGAAAGAAUAUCUAUAAAGAUUUAUUAGUAAGAUGCACACACACACACACACACACACACACACCCUCUCUCUCUCUGGGUGACUCCGGUUUCACCCCAGCACAACCAGAAGGAUUCAUCGCUGAUGGGACUUUUAUUUUGUAAUAAAUAUACGUUGUGUAUGUAGUGUGUGCCACACACUAUCCUCGUGUGUACACACUGACCUUUACAGCUGUACAACUGUCCUUCAAAAUGUUUGUACGCACACAGACACCCACGUCCCGGGUCAUGCAUUACCAGCAUGUCAGUGAUGAAGAACGCAUGUUGGUAGAAGAAGCCUCUGGCUCCUUCUACUCAGAACACGAUGAUUGUGCCGCAUGGAAACCCUUCUGCCUUAAUCCUUGUUCUGGUCCGGCUGCUACUGAACAGCCCUGAAGGAUGUAAUCACUCCAUCACUCUGAGCCCUGAUGAGAAUGUAAAAAAAGAACCAAUGAUGAGUCGGGGAGGUGGGGUGGGGGGGGUAUGCCCAUUAGUUGGAGAACACGCUGCGUUGUGGGGGGGGUGGUGCUGGUGGAUGUGGUGGUGCUGGUGGUGGAGAUGGGAUCCAGCUUCACCAAAACCAAACAGAGUGGCGGGCAGCACCACGGAUUUGUGUGGGUGAUGCGCUCUGGCUUUGUCUGCGCUGUUUUGCCAAAUCCGUGGGGGUUCAUCACAAGACCGGCAGCUCUGCUCGUCGUUUAAAACAAGAGAGAGAAACGUCCAGUGGGGAAAAACAAGUCAUAUAUGGCGUAGUGGACUCUAUCAAUAGGAUACAGAGCGAUACUAUAUAAUAUAUUUGAUACAUGUAGAGGAGAGGAUAUUGUCCUCCUAUGCCGCUCGGAGACUGGUCACCGGAGGUGGCUGCAGUGCCUGAAUCUAGAAGAAGAAAAGGUCAUAACACUUUCACUUUCUCAUGCAGUCGCUCAAAGAACCAACAGCCUGUUGUCUUGUCAAAUGUUUUUGGUUAUUUUGUGUUUGAAAAAAGCAGUGGCCAAAUGUUGCAGAGCCAAACUUUUAAAAGCAUUCGUGCCAGCCCCCUUCCCCAUCGCCUCCUCUAUUUACCCCUCUCCAACAGGUCAAAUAGCCAUGUGAGCAGAUUAGGGGCUCUACGGUUGUUGCUCUUGAAUAUAGAAUAGCAGUACCACCCCCUCCAACCCAAAAUAAUAAGACAAUGGGGGGGUAUUUUUUGCAGUUAUAUUUUCGAUUCCUCCCCCCCCCCCCCUGUUCUCGGGUUGGUGGGGGAGGACAGAUGGGGGGUCAUACUCAUACAUUCCUAGACCUUGUAUUUGCAGUUCAUUUAUUUAUCAAUAUUCUAGAUUUUUUUUUUGUGAACCUUGUUACAAUUUUUCUUUUUGACCAUUUUUAAGAAGCGGUCAGAUUGAGCAGCAUUUCUCUAACCUUAUUUCUUUACGCUGUUCCCUCUGUGAAGAAGAUGUUGAAUCAGCCCGAUGUGUUUACCUGUCCUCCUCAGCGUUGCAGGUUGAGAACGACCUCGGCGUUGCCUCUCGCCCCGUCAAAGAAACAUCAUGUUGCUGAACUUAGCUCUUUUUUUUUUUUUUUCUACUGAAAGAUAUUUUCUUAUCGCUAGGCAUCGGGUGUUUCCUCAACUGUGUUGCUCAUGUGCCGUGUCGGUCGGACCCAAACCUUUUGAAUACCAAACGUGUCAACAAUGUUAUUGUUAUUUUCAGUAGUAUUUCUAGUUGUUUUUUCUAUUGUCGUCGUCAGCAUUAUUAUUUGAUGUAAGCUCUUACUGUGUUCCCUGUUUCCCUGUUCUAUUUUGCUGCCUCUUCACUGGGGAAGUGAACCUGCGUAAUGAGGCUGAGCUGAGGCAGUGUUGACUCUGGCAGACCAAUAAACAACCUGGGGGACACUAAACGGCUGCUGAGCGUAAAUCAUUAUUUGUUUUGUAUGCAUGAUGACGGAGAGCCCUCUUUGUCUGUGUGUGUGUGUGUGUGUGUGUGUGUGUGUGUGUGUGUGUGUGUG
ensembl:lncRNA